CCUACGGGGGGCUGCAGUGGGGAAUAUUGGGCAAUGGAGGCAACUCUGACCCAGCAACGCCGCGUGAAUGAUGAAGGUCCUCGGAUUGUAAAGUUCUUUUUUAAGGGAAGAAGAAAGUGACGGUACCUUAGUAAUAAGCCUCGGCUAACUACGUGCCCGCAGCCGCGGUAAUACGUAGGAGGCAAGCGUUCUCCGGAAUGACUGGGCGUAAAGGGUGCGUAGGUGGUUCGGCAAGUUAGUAGCGUAACUCCGGGGCUCAACCCCGGAACUACUACUAAAACUGUUGGACUUGAGUGCAGGAGGGGUAAGUGGAAUGCGUAGUGUAGCGGUGGAAUGCGUAGAUAUUAGGAAGAACACCAGUGGCGAAGGCAAGUUACUGGACUGUAACUGACACUGAGGCACGAAAGCGUGGGGAGCAAACAGGAUUAGAUACCCGAGUAGUC
rnacentral:rRNA from 1 species